UUCCCGAAAUUACGAGAGGGGGCACGAACCUAGGUCAGCGCGGUCGUCGGCGGCGCGGGCUCCCGCUCACGGUUGCAGGUGGCAGCGCGGUAAGGGAGGCGGGAGGAGGGAGCCGUCGCUGAGCCCGCUGGCGAGGAGGCCGAGGGACGGGCCGGGCGAGGAGGCCGAGGGAGGAGGCUGAGCUCCGCCAUAUGCACGGGUCGGGCGCGCGAGGACGCUCGGGCUCCUCCCGCUUCUCCUCCAGAGGCCUCCUCCUCAGGUUGAUGCAGAUCAUCCUGGCCAUGUCGUGGUCGUCGAUGGUGGGAUGGGGGCGGCGGUGGAUCGAGAUCUGAGGGAGGGAGAUGGGGAUCUAGGGGAGGGGAGGGCGCCGUCGGGAGGAGGAAUGCAAUGAGAGGUUAG
rnacentral:lncRNA from 1 species